CGCGAUUGGAUGAACCUAGGUGGGAUUAGCUAGUUGGUGAGGUACUGGCUCACCAAGGCGACGAUCCCUAGCUGUUCUGAGAGGAUGAUCAGCCACACUGGGACUGAGACACGGCCCAGACUCCUACGAGAGGCAGCAGUGGGGAAUAUUGCACAAUGGGGGAAACCCUGAUGCAGCCAUGCCGCGUGUGUGAAGGAGGCCUUCGGGUUGUAAAGCACUUUCAGUAGGGAGGAAAGGGUGAGUCUUAAUACGGCUCAUCUGUGACGUUACCUACAGAAGAAGGACCGGCUAACUCCGUGCCAGCAGCCGCGGUAAUACGGAGGGUCCGAGCGUUAAUCGGAAUUACUGGGCGUAAAGCGUGCGCAGGCGGUUUGUUAAGCGAGAUGUGAAGGCCCUGGGCUCAACCUAGGAAUAGCAUUUCGAACUGGCGAACUAGAGUCUUGUAGAGGGGGGUAGAAUCCCAGGUGUAGCGGUGAAAUGCGUAGAGAUCUGGAGGAAUACCGGUGGCGAAGGCGGCCCCCUGGACAAAGACUGACGCUCAUACACGAAAGCGUGGGGAGCAAACAGGAUUAGAUACCCUGGUAGUCCACGCCGUAAACGAUGUCUACUCGGAGUUUGGUGCCUU
rnacentral:rRNA from 1 species